GGGCACAUGGUGUAGUUGGUUUAUCACGCCCGCUUAGCACGAGUUAGUGAUUGCGGGAGGUGUUGGGUUCAAUUCCCAAUGUGUCCA